rnacentral:rRNA from 1 species
UACGAAGGGGGCUAGCGUUGUUCGGAAUUACUGGGCGUAAAGCGCGCGCAGGCGGCUUUCCAAGUCAGUGGUGAAAGCCCGGAGCUCAACUCCGGAAUUGCCAUUGAAACUGUAAAGCUUGAGUACGAGAGAGGUGAGUGGAAUUCCCAGUGUAGAGGUGAAAUCCGUAGAUAUUGGGAAGAACACCGGUGGCGAAGGCGGCUCACUGGCUCGUUACUGACGCUCAGGCGCGACAGCGUGGGGAUCAAACAGG